CUCUUGAGAUUUUGUUUUGAGAGUGGCUGAAUGAUACUGGCUUUUACUGAGCAGGGUGGGAAGACUUGAGGAACAGGUUUGGAAUCAAGAGGUGUGUUUUUGGGCACCUAAGUCUGAGAGGCUAUUAGACAGUUCAGUGCAGAUAUCAAGCAGACAAGUAGGAUAUACAUCUGAAGGCCAAGUUUAUACAUCUGAAGACACAAAUUUAAGAGACAACUGCAUGUAGGUGAUGCUUAAAGCCAACGCCCUGGGUGAGAUCACAUAGGAAAGGGGAGAUGCUGACGAAGGCCAGGAUGGGCUCCAGACACCCCAGCAUUUGGAGUUUGGGCCUUAGAGAAGAAGCCAGAGCAGCAUCCUGGCUCCUGAGGUUGCAUGUCUUCCUGGACCUAUAAGAAGGAACUGCUCUGCUGUGGGAAUUGCUGCAUUCCUGGUUGGGACCAGCAUGCUGCUUGGCUUUGAAUGUUCCCAAAGCCUCAGCUUGCCCGGGGGGGUGGGGGGGGGAAGGCUUCUGUCCCCACGCUCUGCGUGCCUGGCCAACAGCCUCCUUAAAGACUCCAACAAAGAGUGACAACAGGACUGGGGACGACCACCUUUUUGACCUGACUUUAGCUAAUGGAGCACAUCUAACAUAGUGACAUAAGGAGCUCAAAGAUAAGGCACCCCUAUAAAAGGACCCGGCUGGGCCAUGUAAGCCAGCUGUCUUUGAGGAUUCCUCUGCUUGACAUGAAGAAACAGCUGCAGAGGAGAUAUCAGGUCUUGGGGAUAUUUCCCUUUAAAUGUAUCUUGUUUUUGUUUUUUUGAGGUGGCUGAGGAGGAGAGCUUUCAAUUACCACUCAUGAAAAGUAGCUGUUGCAUUCUGUGUUCCACACCACCUCCCCUCAGCCUGCCUGCAGCCUCAGCGGUGGCCAGGAGGGCACCCUUCAGCUCCCUGGCAGCGCCCACCUCCAGCUGCUGUGGAGCACCUCAGCAUUUCCAGCUCAGGGCUUUUUGAAGGUUUGGUAGUUCACUUGACUUCUCCUGGACACAGGCAGCCCAAAGUGCCAGGGGUGUUACCACUCCUGGGGGAACUUCCUGCCAUGGAGGAUGGAAAGUGAGUGGGAAAAGGCCGCCUUCUCUGGUUCUUCAGAGCUGCAAUUCUGGGGGUGCUCUCCACCAUUCCUCAGAGAGUCCCAGUUGCCCACGGUAAUAACCAGUGGAUUGGUGCUUCCUCUACUGUCUUCUUUCUCCUCUCCUCUCCCCUCUGCCCCACUUGUGCAUCCUAGGAUCCCUUCCCAAAAAGGCCACUUGGACCCAAGACACAAGUCUCUGUCUGAGGUUUUGGUUUGGGGAGAACCUAAGCUAACUCAUACAUCAGUGAGUAUGAUGGGAACUGGUUUUUCUUUAACAUUAAGAAAUAAAGCUGCUCCUUUGCUGAACAAAGGCAAAAGGGAGACUGCCACCAUUGGGAAGAGGAACUGUCCUGGAAGCUGAAGAGGUGGGAACACUGUUCUGAUUGUUAGUAACUAAGUUAAGCCCCAGUGUUGCCUGUUAAUAUAGGCCAGGGGCUGCUGGUGGCUGGGGGAGGAAUAACUGGGCUCAUUUUGAGCAUGGAGGGGCUCCACGGAAUGUGGAGGCAGGAUGUGUGAGUGGGGAGACGCUAAGGCAGGUACAAAAUGUCCAAAGUAAACCACGGAGGCCUGGGGAGCCCAAACUGAGGUUCCAGAGUCAGAGGUGAUAUGGUGAAGUAGCCUUGUGAAGCAGGGGUGCUCUAGAUUAAUUGCAGAAACCAAGAGUGAGGCCAGAUAAAAGCUUGUAUCCGUUCCCAGCAUUUGUGUGAGGGACCCUGACGGAGCCAUGACCCUAAUAAACCCAUGGGUCUAAUUACAGUGCCCUCCAGGGCGGCAGGUCUGUUAGUAUCGAAAAGAAAAGGAAAUGGAGGGGAGACAGGGACACCUGCAUCCCCAGGGCAUGAGUUCAGUCCACAGAGAGGAAGAGCAAACAAAGGUCACGGGCAGCAAAGCUGGACUUCCAGGAACAAGCAACAGAAACUGAGAAGCAGACGAUCACCUGCCUUCCUUUCUGCUGGUUUUUUAUGAGGUUGAUUUUUUUCUCAUUUAUUUCUGGGUCUACAUAGAAAAUGUAAUUACAGUGUUUCUGGAAAAAGGACUAUUUUUCCCAGUGCUACAGCUGCAUAACAAUUUUAAUUCCACAAGAACUGGGCAGUCAAUGACAGGUACAACUGUCAAUGUUGGGCAGCAGAUACCGUGGGAUGUGUGUAGGAGGCAGCGAUCAGAGCACGUCCAUGGACCUGCAGUGUAGGAAUCUUGACAGGACUUCAAAUGGUUGUAUUAUUGCAGCCUGGACAACCCGUAUCCUACCCUCAAUCAAACCAAACCAAAAAUCCUACCUGAGACCCCCCCCCCCCGCCCCAAACUGUAGGGAUUUAUCUGUGAUCCUGUAAUUUCUAGACAGUUCCUGGUAGUUUUAGCUCAAUAAUUACAAUAAUCAGAGAGAACUAUUAUUGUAAAU